ACACACACACACAGACAUACUGGCAUACACACACAGACAUACUGACACACACACAUACACACACAGACAUACUGGCAUACACACAGACAUACUGACACACACACACACACACAGACAUACUGGCAUACACACAGACAGACUGGCACAUACACACAGACAGACAUUAAAACAUUCACAGAUACAUACUGACACACACAUACACUGACACACAAAUAUAUCCUGGCAGACAUACUGACACACACAUACACACACACACACACAGAGACAUACCUACAUACACACACACAGACAUACU